CCAGGGUCCCAGCCUAUGUCCAGCCACUCAGAGUGCCGCUACGCCGCAUCCCCGCCGCGCUGCCAGCAAGCUUAGCCAAUCGAAGGCCGCCAUCGGGGCGGGGAAAGAGGAAAGCGACAGCAGGACUGAGGGAGUUGGGUUGCGGAGCUGGAGGGGGCGGAGCUUCCCGGGAGGGCGAGAAAGUGGGCAGGAACCCGGGAGGAGGAGGAGGGAGGCUGGAGGGAAGCGUGGGGCUCUUGUAGGGGGCGUUGAGGGGCGGCGGGAACCCGGGCAGGCGAAGGUCGACCUCUGGAAGUGGAACAUGGGUCUCCACGCAGAUUCCUGUCCAGUGACUGUGGAACCCUGUGGAAGAGACAGAUAUUUGUCAGCGAAACUGAGUUAGGAAAGGAUGAAGAGAGCUGAGGAAAUCAGUCACGCACACUAACAUAGAGGCCGCAAAUAGAGAACAGUCUGCAAAAACUUGCCGAUCACAUACAGCAUGCUUUCUGGGAAUGGCACCGAGAUACUAACUCAUAUACAGCCCUAAAUAUGAAUAUGCCAGGCUGGAGUGGAGUGGUGCGAUCUCAGCUCACUGCAACCUGCUGAUUUUUUUGUAUUUUUAGUAGAAAUGGAGUUUCACCGUGUUGGCCAGGAUGGUGUCAAUCUCCUGACUUCAUGAUCCAUCUACCGCAGCCUCCCAAAGUGCUGGGAUUACAGGUGUGAGCCACCACACCCACCCUGAUAUUUUCUUGUAAAAGAUCAAUAGGUUCAGAAUGUCACUUCAUAGAUUCUACAAAAAGAGUGUUCUGAACUUGUUAAAUGCAAAUUCAAGUAUGAUUUCAACUAUGUGAUCUCUGGCAAAGGGAAAACUAUUGAGACAGUAAAAAGAUCUGUGGUACCAAGGGGAGUUACUACGUGAUUUGAUAGUACCUCCCCUUGGUACCAUAGAUCUUUGGUAGUAUGAUUUCAACUAUGUGAUCUCUAAGAAAGGUAAAACUAUUGAGACAGUGGAGAUCAGUGGUUACCAGGGGAAGGAGGGAUGAACAGCAAAGCACUGAGGAUUUUAAGGCAGUUAAACUUCUGUAGGAUUCUACCAUAGUGGAUAGAUAUUAUUAUAUAUUUAUUCAAACCCACAGCAUAUAAAACACCAAGACUGAACACUAAUGUAAGCUAUGGAUUGUAUCGAUGUAGGCCCAUUGAUUGUAACAAAUAUACCACUCUGGUUAGCAUGUUGACAGUGGAGGAGGCUGUACAUGGUGUUGGUGCAGUGGGUACAUGGGAAUUCUAUGUACUUUCUGUUGAGUUUUGCUAUGAACCUAAAAUGCCUCUAGAAAAUAAACUUCCUUUUAAAAAAGAAAAAGAAUAAUAGGUGUGGCGACCCUAGAGAAAAAAGAUAAAUCUAAAAAAACUAGCCCACUAUGCUCCAAAGCUAAUCACCUGUCAAAACAGCAAAUGUAUACUUAAGAUUUGUGCAUUUCAUUGUAUGUAGAUGUGAUAUCAAAAGAAGACCUAUAAAUGAAUAUUGAAUUCUAGUUGUGAUAUGCAUGCUGAAAAUUUACGGGGAAAGUGCACUCAUGUCUGCAAUUUAUUUGAAAUGCAUCAAAAUUGGGUGCAUUAAGGUACAGCUAAAAGAAUCAAUGGAUGGAUGGAUGGAUGGAUGGAUGGAUGGAUGGAUGGAUCGAUGGAUCGAUGGAUCAAUGGAUUAAUGAAUGGAAGACAGACAGACAUAUGAUAAGGCCAGUUGAGUAUACUGAAAAUGGAAGAAUCUGGAUGAUGAGCAUAUGGUUGUUCACUGUAAAAUUCAACUUGCUGUAUGUCUGAAUUUUUUCAUAAUAAAAUGUUGGGAUAAACUA